CCUUUUAUACUUUGGGACUUGUAAAUAGAAGUUUCAGGGGUGAAACACUGCUUCUUCUGAAGAAUUAUGUGGAGUUAAAUGUAUCCUCUUCUGCAGAAAAGCAUUAAAUUAUGAACUAGGAUGUGGGAUAAACACACUAAGUACCUCCUCCAGCUCAGU